GACGAACGCUGGCGGCGUGCUUAACACAUGCAAGUCGAGCGGUAAGGCCCUUUCGGGGGUACGACGAGCGGCGAACGGGUGAGUAACACGUGGGUGACCUGCCCUCAGCUCUUGGGAUAAGCCUGGGAAACCGGGUCUAAUACCGGAUAUGACUCCAUGACGCAUGUUGUGGGGUGGAAAGCCUUGUGCGGCUGAGGAUGGGCCCGCGGCCUAUCAGCUUGUUGGUGGGGUGAUGGCCUACCAAGGCGACGACGGGUAGCCGGCCUGAGAGGGCGACCGGCCACACUGGGACUGAGACACGGCCCAGACUCCUACGGGAGGCAGCAGUGGGGAAUCUUGCGCAAUGGGCGAAAGCCUGACGCAGCGACGCCGCGUGAGGGAUGACGGCCU
rnacentral:rRNA from 1 species